rnacentral:rRNA from 1 species
UACGAAGGGGGCUAGCGUUGUUCGGAAUUACUGGGCGUAAAGCGCGCGCAGGCGGUCUUCCAAGUCAGUGGUGAAAGCCCCGGAGCUCAACUCCGGAACUGCCAUUGAAACUGUUAGACUUGAGGAUGAGAGAGGUGAGUGGAAUUCCCAGUGUAGAGGUGAAAUUCGUAGAUAUUGGGAAGAACACCGGUGGCGAAGGCGGGCUCACUGGCUCAUUACUGACGCUCAGGCGCGAUAGCGUGGGAUCAAACAGG